rnacentral:lncRNA from 1 species
CUUCCCUCUUCGGCUCUCAGCCAGCUUGCCUUCAAGAUCCUCAUCUAGACAAGGCUUAAAUUUGGCUUAACUGUUGGCUCCAGCAUUACCGUUUCACAAGGACGGAGGUGCAGCCUGUGUGGUGAUCCUUGCCAGGCGAAGGCACCAGGAAGAAUCCUUAUCCAAUGACGGGGACCCUAAAACUUGCCCGCACUCUUUUGUGAGUUGGGUUGGGUGGGGUGACUGCUGUCCUGCUGCAGAAGGUGUGGCUGUCUACUGUCUACCUUUUCUACCUCUGAAAUUUCACUUUGAUGGAGUUGCAGCGGCAGAACAUUUCUUACUUCAGGAGGUGUCCGGCCUCAGAAAAUGCUGCUCCAAAGUCCUUUGGAUGGAAUUGAAUGAGACCUAGAGGAUUCACAAGGAAUCUCCAUUUUGAAGAUGGUGGCAGAUUCAAGAUCAGAAGUCUCACAGAGAGGGCUCCUGCUGAACGCCUGGGAGAAGAAUAGACCAGAAGGAGGCUGGACACAGAGGCUGUGUGGGGCCACUCCAGCCUAUCACCAGGACACCUAAGCCUUCUGUCCAGUUGUGCUUUACACUGUCCUCCAGGCUUCCAAACAGUUUUCAUUGAGUCUUUGGAUGCUCAUUUCUGAAGCCACAUUAAAUCGAGGCUACUUCCUCUUAUUAACCUU